CAUUGUGUGGUGUGUUUGAUGUACCCAGGGGUGCCAUCUGUUUAUCCCCAGUGGGGAUCUGGGUGUGCGUGUGUUAUGGGGCAAGUAUUUCUGGUCCCCUUUUUCCUGCCUCGUGUGGUGUAUCUGUCCCUGGUUGGUCCUGUUCCCUGGUGCACGGUGUUGUCGGCGGCCAUUCCCGUUUGCUGUGUUUCGUGACCUGGAGCUG